GCUCAGAACGAACGCUGGCGGCAGGCUUAACACAUGCAAGUCGAGCGCCCCGCAAGGGGAGCGGCAGACGGGUGAGUAACGCGUGGGAAUCUACCCUUGACUACGGAAUAACGCAGGGAAACUUGUGCUAAUACCGUAUGUGUCCUUCGGGAGAAAGAUUUAUCGGUCAAGGAUGAGCCCGCGUUGGAUUAGCUAGUUGGUGGGGUAAAGGCCUACCAAGGCGACGAUCCAUAGCUGGUCUGAGAGGAUGAUCAGCCACAUUGGGACUGAGACACGGCCCAAACUCCUACGGGAGGCAGCAGUGGGGAAUAUUGGACAAUGGGCGCAAGCCUGAUCCAGCCAUGCCGCGUGAGUGAUGAAGGCCCUAGGGUUGUAAAGCUCU
rnacentral:rRNA from 2 species